AUCUAACUCGCUAUGUGGUAUAAUGGUAAUAGAUAGAAUAUAACAAGGAAGUGGGUCAGAAUCCUACACAGUGCCGCUACGGUAUUUGCAUUUAUGCAUAAGUCCGAUACUUGUAUCUUAGUUUUGCUCCGG
rnacentral:ncRNA from 2 species